ACAACAACAACUCCCAUCAACAACAAUACUACCCAUCAACAACAACAACACCCAUCAACAACAACAACUCCCAUCAACAACAAUACUACCCAUCAACAACAACAACACCCAUCAACAACAACAACUCCCAUCAACAACAAUACUACCCAUCAACAACAACAAUACCCAUCAACAACAAUACUACCCAUCAACAACAACAAUACCCAUCAACAAUAAU